GAUGAACGCUGACAGAAUGCUUAACACAUGCAAGUCGACUGGGGCGGACGGGUGAGUAACGCGUAAAGAACUUGCCUCACAGAUAGGGCCAACAUUUGGAAACGAAUGCUAAUACCUGAUACUGUGGGAGAGCUUUGCGUCCCAUUAGCUAGUUGGAGAGGUAACGGCUCACCAGGGCGAUGAUGGGUAGCCGGCCUGAGAGGGGGAUCGGCCACAAGGGGACUGGGACACGGCCCUGACUCCUCCGGGGGGCAGCAGUGGGGAUAUUGGACCAUUGGACCAAAGUCUGAUACAGCAAUUCUGUGUGGACGAUGAAGUUUUCGGAAUGUAAAGCGCUUUCAGUUGAGAAGCGGUACCAACAGAAGAAGUAACGGCUAAAUACGUGCCAGCAGCCGCGGUAAUUC
rnacentral:rRNA from 1 species